GACGAACGCUGGCGGCGUGCUUAACACAUGCAAGUCGAGCGGAAAGGCCCUUCGGGGUACUCGAGCGGCGAACGGGUGAGUAACACGUGAGUAAUCUGCCCCUAGCUCUGGGAUAGCUCCGGGAAACCGGGAUUAAUACCGGAUACGACCCCUUCGGACAUCUGAAGGGGUGGAAAGAUUUAUCGGCUAGGGAUGAGCUCGCGGCCUAUCAGCUUGUUAGUGGGGUAACGGCCCACCAAGGCGACGACGGGUAGCCGGCCUGAGAGGGCGACCGGCCACACUGAGACUGAGACACGGCCCAGACUCCUACGGGAGGCAGCAGUGGGGAAUCUUGCGCAAUGGGCGAAAGCCUGACGCAGCAACGCCGCGUG
rnacentral:rRNA from 1 species